rnacentral:rRNA from 1 species
CUUGCCGUAAACUAUGUAUACUUGGUGUAACUGGACUCAACCCUAGUUGUGCCGUAGCUAACGCGUUAAGUAUACCGCCUGGGGAGUACACUCGCAAGGGUGAAACUCAAAAGAAUUGACGGGGACCCGCACAAGCAGUGGAGCAUGUGGUUUAAUUCGAUGCAACGCGAAGAACCUUACCCAGACUUGACAUGCAGAUGACAGUCCUAGAAAUAGGAUCUUCCCUCGGGACAUCUGCACAGGUGC